rnacentral:rRNA from 1 species
AGAGUUUGAUCAUGGCUCAGAAUGAACGUUGGCGGCGUGGAUUAGGCAUGCAAGUCGAGCGAGAACCCUUCCUUCGGGAAGGGGGACAGCGGCGAAAGGGAGAGUAACGCGUGGAUUAUCCACCCUCAGGACCGGGAUAGCCUGCCGAAAGGCAGGGUAAUACCGGAUAAUGUCUCCGGACCAAAUGGUGUGAUUCCUCCUGAGGACGAGUCCGCGUCCUAUUAGCUUGUUGGUAGGGUAACGGCCUACCAAGGCAAUGAUGGGUACUGGGUGUAAGAGCACGACCCAGCUCACUGGGACUGAGACACUGCCCAGACACCUACGGGUGGCUGCAGUCGAGGAUCUUCGGCAAUGGGCGCAAGCCUGACCGAGCGACGCCGCGUGUGGGAUGAAGGCCUUCGGGUUGUAAACCACUGUUAGAGGGGAUGAAAUGCCUGGAGGUUCUCCUCCAGGCUUGACAUAUCCUCAGAGGAAGUACGGGCUAAGUUCGUGCCAGCAGCCGCGGUAAGACGAACCGUACGAACGUUAUUCGGAAUCACUGGGCUUAAAGGGUGCGUAGGCUGUGCAGAAAGUUGGGUGUGAAAUCCCUCGGCUUAACCGAGGAAUGGCGCCCAAAACUACUGUGCUCGAGGGAGACAGAGGUGAGCGGAACUUAGGGUGGAGCGGUGAAAUGCGUUGAUAUCCUAAGGAACACCGGUGGCGAAAGCGGCUCACUGGGUCUCUGCUGACGCUGAGGCACGAAAGCUAGGGUAGCGAACGGGAUUAGAUACCCCCGUAGUCC